GCUGCUCCCAGAGCUGGCAGCUUCUGGCCUACAAACCCGGGUGGCCGCCCGUCACGGCGCCGGAAGGUCACCUGGUCAAAUAAAUACGAAGCAGGGGCCAAAAAGUUCCACUCGUAAAUCCACGUGACAGCCAAGUGGCCCAAAACUCGAGGCCGAGCGCUCGUUACCACCAGAACCCCGCAGGGUCCCGCCCUGACUUUCAUACCCGGGCCGUGCACCGCGGGUGCCAGGAGCUGCAGGCCCCGGGAGGCAGAGGCCGCCAGCAGGAUGGCACCCGCCAGCAGCCACGCCGCGCUCAGGCUUCGCAUCCUUCCCGCAGCCCCGACGCCGGGCGGACGGGGAAUCCGCCGCCACGGAUUCGAGACUCAGAACUCCGAGAGAAAGCCAGCCUCGCGCCUGCCCCUAAUCCGAGCCUCCGCGCGCCUCCCCAGGGCCGGAGAGCUAGUGUCGUCAAUCUCCCUCACCUUUCCUGACCGUCAAAAAGCCAUGACCGAGCUCAUUGCAAUUAUCGUUGGCCAUUGAUACGGGGAGAUCUUCCCCGUGCAGUGCGCACUGCGGGACGCGGGAUGAGCUUCUGAUCUGCAGAGACAAGGCGGACGGCUGCAGACACCAACGAAAGUGAAAGCGGUGUGGAGCAGAGGGGUGGGGGUCUAGGAUUAGGUUCCUGCUCCCCUGUUAACCAGCUGUGACCUUGGACAAACCUCUUCACCUGCUUCCAGGCCUCUUCUGGGAGGUGGAGCAGGAGAGAAUAAAUGGAAUGGCGACUUUAAGUGCCAGGUGUCAACGCUUUAGGAGCACUAUCUUGUUUCAUCCCCACAACAGCCAGUGCAAUAAGUAGGAUUCUUCCCAUUUUACAGAGGAGGAAAUGGAACUUAGAAAGAUUAUGUAAAUUGCCCAGAGUUACAGUUUAUAAAUGUA